UUCUGCACACAUCAAAAAAUUGAAACUGGAGGCUUCUCUUGCUCAGAGAUUUUUGACAUUUCAUCUUAAUGUUACCAUUUUUAGGAAGAUGGAAGUGAGAUGGAUGUUGAUACUGCGGCUCCAGUAGCUCAAGUUUCAAUCAAGCAUGGUCUCCCAGAGAUUGAAAUAUACUUCUACUUGCUUGUGUUCAUUUUCCUUAUUGAUCACAAGAAGUACGAUGAGGCUAAAGCAUGUGCCAACGCUAGCAUUGCUCGUCUGAAGAAUCUCAAUAGGAGGACUGUUGAUGUUUUGGCUUCUAGGCUAUACUCCUAUUACUCAUGCACAUGAACUCACCAACAGCCUUGCUGAAAUUUGUGGGUGAGUUCUUCCAACAGUAUGCUCUUGUGUCUCAGAGUAAUCAGAUGACAACUUUGCACCGUGAUGAGCUUGGCCAGGUUGUUCUGAGACACUAGUCUUCAAUUUCAGACUUGCAACUUAAAUAUUGUCAAGUCAGAAAAACUUAGGUCAAAGGCACCACGUUUUGAAGCACAUUCCAAUCAGCAAGUAACUAUCAUUCAUCAAGUAGUUUAUUUCUCUCCUGUAUGUAUGCCAAGUUGUUACAGUUGAAUUAGAAUUGCAAUGUGCUUUUAUUGUUUGUGCCGAGGCUGGUUAUCGAUUUAAUGAUGAAUGGCCUAUGAAAUUGUCAUUUGCUUUUGUAGAGAUCUUAUUGUAGACCAGUACUAACCUCUCUACUUCUACCACAGUUCUGCCGGUGCCGGUAUCUGUUCUACUUGGGCAAAAUUAGAACAAUUCAGCUGGAAUACACUGAUGCUAAAGAGAGCCUCUUGCAAGAUGCACGCAAAGC